ACCGCCUCAGGGAAGAGGAAGGAGGCCGCGGCUUCGCGUCCCGCCUCUCGCCUGGCUGGCCGUGGGGGGCCUGGACGCAGUGGCCUCCCGAAUCUCCCAGGACCCUAAUGUCGCCCGAGGAUGCUGGGAGGAACACUGAGCCGACCUCUCCGUUAGGCUGAAGAUUGCACAAACCAUGCUAAUGGCCAGCAUGGGUGGAGGGAGCGUGUGAGAUGUGUGGGGCGGCGUGCUGCAUCUCAGCCAACUCCAGGAGCCUGUUGAUGUGAUGGACUACCUUAAUUGAUUUUUGAAUGUUGAGCCAGCCUUAUGCAUGUGGGAUAAACCCCUGUUGAUCAUGGCUGGCUGGAGUGCAGUGGUGCAAUCAUGGCUCACUGCAACCUCAAAUUCCUGGGCUCAAGGGAUCCUCCUGCCUCAGCCUCCCAAGUAGCUAGGACCACAGGAAGCAUGCUCAUGGCAAUACCCGGAGUCUCCACUGCAAGACCAGAGUGAUGGAGGCAGCAGAGCUCCUCAGCAGGCCAGGAGUCUCCAGAGGCACUGCCGAAUGUCUAAGAAGCAACCUCAUUGUAUUCCCAAGAGCUGGGAAUCCAGGUCUCGCAGAUACGAUGAUACAAUCUAUAGCCAGGACAUCU
rnacentral:lncRNA from 1 species